rnacentral:rRNA from 1 species
UACAGAGGGGGCAAGCGUUGUUCGGAAUUACUGGGCGUAAAGGGCGCGUAGGCGGCCUGCUAAGUCGAACGUGAAAUCCCCGGGCUCAACCCGGGAACUGCGUCCGAUACUGGCAGGCUUGAAUUCGGGAGAGGGAUGCGGAAUUCCAGGUGUAGCGGUGAAAUUCGUAGAUAUCGGGAGGAACACCAGUGGCGAAGGCGGCGACCUGGACGGACAUUGACGCUGAGACGCGAAAGCGUGGGGAGCAAACAGG